rnacentral:lncRNA from 1 species
ACUAGGCCACGCCUCCCAGCCUCAGAGCUCCACCCAGGAAGGUCUCUGGUCAUCUCAGAGCCGCCUCUUCCGCCUGCGCCUCGCCCAGCGGGGCCGGCGUCGGCCUCGGGUCUGCGCACCCAGUGCAAGCGGUGCACCGCCAUCUUUUUUAUGGGCAAAGAUUCCUUUGCGAUUUAUGUUCCCAAAGCAGGCUUCUUAGGAAGUCCGUAGAGAGACGCUCGGAAGAGAAUGGACAUCUUGCACACUGAAACACUGAGCUAAAGUGUUGGGGGUCGAAGUGGCAACCCAUGAAACCUAGAAUAAACGAGAGGCCUGCCCUGAGUAAAGUGACCCGCAAACAUGUUUAAGGCGACCCCCAACUCUGAUGCACCGUUAAAGGACAGACUAUCCAGAUCACUCUGUUUAGAGUUGAGCACAAGUUGAAGUAAGCAAGAAGAGCGCAUGAAUAAUAAGGGUGCCACGGGGACAGGGAAGCUUAGCUGCCUCGCUCUACCUCAUCUCCAAGGAACGCUUCCAAGAAUGGACAUUUGAGUGCUGUCUGGAAAGAUGAGCCGGGGUUUGGCAGAUGCCGAAAGGAUUCAGGUGUCCAGCGGGGCCCUGAGAGGAUGGAGAG